rnacentral:lncRNA from 1 species
UACAUAUGUAUAUCAUUUUUUUUUUUCUUUUAAUUUUUGAAUCAUUCCAAAUAAUAAUUUACAUUAUCUUUAUAGAUAUCGAGGUAAUACAAAUAUAAAAAAAUUGCAGUACAUAUUUUAAACUAUUAUAUAUAUAUACAAUCAACCAUAUUGUAUGUACAUGUAUAACUUCUAUUAACAUUUAUAGGAUAUAAAUGAGACAUUAAAAAAUGAAAUAAAACAAUUGAAAAAAAAAAUCAAAGAUUUAGAAACAGAAAAUGAAAACUUAAGCAACUCUUUAACAGAAAAAACCAAAAUUAUAGAAGAGAACAAAGUUGUAAUAGAAAAUUUUCAAACAAAAUUAAAUACAUCCGUUGAAACAACUAAAAAUAAAUAUAUUACACAAAUAGAAGAACAAGACAAAAAAAUCCAUGAGUUGCAAAACAAGUUAGAAAAACAAUUUAAAGAUAGUAGUCAAAUAGAAAAAGAACUAAAAAAUAAAAUAAAAGAGCUAGAGGAUGAACAAAAUAUACUUAAACAAGAGAAUCAAAAUAAUGCAACUUUGCAAAAUAAAAUUAAUAUAUAUAAGGGAAAAUUAGACAGCCUCUUAACAGUUCAAAAUAUAAAUAAGGAGUUAGAAGACAAGCUCAAAAACAAUACACAGAAAAUGGUUAAUAUGGAACAAGAAAUAGAAAAAUUCAAAGCUGAGACAACUAAAUUGAAAAAAUAUGAAGAAAAAAUUGAAGAAAUAAAUGCACAACUGGAGAAAGCAAAGACAGAAUGUGAAAAACUUAAAACAGACAACGAAGAGAAAAAUAAAACUUUGCAAAAAUUAACGAUUGAUUUGUAAUUCUUCAAAAAGAGAAAAAUAUAUAAACUAAAAAUCGAAAAUUAUGUCAUUAAAAUAAUAUUAACAUUUUUUUUUUUUAUUUUUCCCUUUUUUUCAGAGAUAAUAAAACUCAUUCCUAAAAUUUAUUAAAAAAAGAA